ACUGGACACGGUGGCGCACGCCUGUAGUCCCAGCUGCUCGGGAGGCUGAGGCAGGAGGAUCACUUGAGCCCAGGAGUUCUGGGCUGUAGUGCGCUAUGCCGAUCGGGUGUUCGCACUAAGUUUGGCAUCAAUAUGGUGACCUCCCGGGAGCAGGGGACCACCAGGUUGCCUAAGAAGGGGUGAACCGGCCCAGGUCAGAAACGGAGCAGGUCAAAACUCCCGUGCUGAUCAGUAAACCAUUAAAUCACAAGAACACCUAUAUAAAAAAAUUAAAACCCAGCAUAUUGGCAAUAACAAUUUGGCA
ensembl:misc_RNA Metazoa_SRP Metazoan signal recognition particle RNA